rnacentral:rRNA from 1 species
CAAACCAAAGCUGGCGACCGGCGCACGGGUGAGUAACACGUAUCCAACCUGCCUCAUACUCGGGGAUAGCCUUUCGAAAGAAAGAUUAAUAUCCGAUAGCAUAUAUUUCCCGCAUGGGUUUUAUAUUAAAGAAAUUCGGUAUGAGAUGGGGAUGCGUUCCAUUAGUUUGUUGGGGGGGUAACGGCCCACCAAGACGAUGAUAGGUAGGGGUUCUGAGAGGAAGGUCCCCCACAUUGGAACUGAGACACGGUCCAA